AUUGAACGCUGGCGGCAGGCUUAACACAUGCAAGUCGAGCGGGGUGAUGGUGCUUGCACUAUCACUUAGCGGCGGACGGGUGAGUAAUGCUUAGGAAUCUGCCUAUUAGUGGGGGACAACAUCUCGAAAGGGAUGCUAAUACCGCAUACGUCCUACGGGAGAAAGCAGGGGAUCACUUGUGACCUUGCGCUAAUAGAUGAGCCUAAGUCGGAUUAGCUAGUUGGUGGGGUAAAGGCCUACCAAGGCGACGAUCUGUAGCGGGUCUGAGAGGAUGGUCCGCCACACUGGGACUGAGACACGGCCCAGACUCCUACGGGAGGCAGCAGUGGGGAAUAUUGGACAAUGGGGGGAACCCUGAUCCAGCCAUGCCGCGUGUGUGAAGAAGGCCUUAUGGUUGUAAAGCACUUUAAGCGAGGAGGAGGCCCUUUUGGUUAAUACCCAAGAUGAGUGGACGUUACUCGCAGAAUAAGCACCGGCUAACUCUGUGCCAGCAGCCGCCGUAA
rnacentral:rRNA from 1 species